rnacentral:rRNA from 1 species
AUUGAACGCUGGCGGCAGGCCUAACACAUGCAAGUCGAACGAGUGGCGGACGGGUGAGUAAUGCCUGGGAAUCUGCCUGAUGGAGGGGGAUAACGACGGGAAACGGUCGCUAAUACCGCGUACCAUCGGAUGUGCCCAAGUGGGAUUAGGUAGUUGGUGGGGUAAUGGCUUACCAAGCCGACGAUCGCUAGCUGGUCUGAGAGGAUGACCAGCCACACGGGAACUGAGACACGGCCCGGACUCCUACGGGAGGCAGCAGUGGGGAAUAUUGCGCAAUGGGGGAAACCCUGACGCAGCCAUGCCGCGUGAAUGAAGAAGGCCUUCGGGUUGUAAAGUACUUUCGGUGGGGAGGCGUUAAUCGCAGAAGAAGCACCGGCUAACUCCGUGCCAGCAGCCGCGGUAAUAC